rnacentral:misc_RNA from 1 species
GAUGAAGAACGCAGUGAAAUGCGAUAAGUAAUGUGAAUUGCAGAAUUCAGUGAAUCAUCGAAUCUUUGAACGCACAUUGCGCCCCUUGGUAUUCCGGGGGGCAUGCCUGUUCGAGCGUCAUUAUCACCCCUCAAGCUCAGCUUGGUGUUGGGGCCUGCCCGUCACAGGGCAGCCCUUAAAAGCAGUGGCGGUGCCAUCUGGCUCUACGCGUAGUAAUACUUCUCGCGACAGAGUCCCGGUGGUGUCCUGCCAGAACCCCCCAUAUUUUUAAUGAUUGACCUCGGAUCAGGUAGGGAUACCCGCUGAACUUAAGCAUAUCAAUAAGCGGAGGA